CCCUUAGAUGUUCUGGGCCGCACGUGCGCUACACUGAUGCAUUCAACGAGUCUAAAACCUGCUCUGAUAGGGGUGGGUAAUCUUUUGAAUGUGCAUCGUGAUUGGGAUAGAUGAUUGCAAUUUUUCAUCUUCAACGAGGAAUGCCUAGUAAACGCAAGUCAUCAGCUUGCAUUGAUUACGUCCCUGCCCUUUGUACACACCGCCCGUCGCUCCUACCGAUUGAAUGAUCCGAUGAAUAUCAUGGAUUGAGGAUGCAAGUAGGUUCGCCUAUCUUCAUCUUCGAGAAGUGAAGUAAAUCUUAUCAUUUAGAGGAAGGAGAAGUCGUAACA
rnacentral:rRNA from 1 species